rnacentral:lncRNA from 1 species
AUUCAUUACUGCUAACUACUGUUAAAUGCGGGGUAUAGUCUUCUAGAUUCUAUUUUUCUUUUUUUUUUGAGACGGAGUCUUGCUCUGUCUCCCAGGUUGGAGUGCAAUGGUGUGAUCUUGGCUCACUGCAACCUCCAUCUCCCGGGUUCAAGCGAUUCUCCUGCCUCAGCCUCCUGAGUUGCCAGGAUUACAGGCACGUAUCAUUAUCAAAUAUUUUCUAAAACAAUACUAAAAACAUCAAUGUUAAACAACAUGUUUUUCUGCAAUUUGCAUAUUUGUAGAG